GUGAGGAAUAUUGGUCAAUGGACGCAAGUCUGAACCAGCCAUGCCGCGUGCAGGAAGAAGGUGCUAUGCAUUGUAAACUGCUUUUAUACGGGGGUAAUUACAGAUACGUGUAUCUGGAUGAAAGUACCGUAUGAAUAAGGAUCGGCUAACUCCGUGCCAGCAGCCGCGGUAAUACGGAGGAUCCGAGCGUUAUCCGGAUUUAUUGGGUUUAAAGGGUGCGUAGGCGGUCAGGUAAGUUAGAGGUGAAAGCUCGAUGCUCAACAUCGAAACUGCCUCUGAUACUGUCUGACUAGAGUGUAGUUGCGGAAGGCGGAAUGUGUGGUGUAGCGGUGAAAUGCUUAGAUAUCACACAGAACACCGAUUGCGAAGGCAGCUUUCCAAGCUAUUACUGACGCUGAGGCACGAAAGCGUGGGGAGCGAACAGGA
rnacentral:rRNA from 1 species